GAUGAACGCUGACAGAAUGCUUAACACAUGCAAGUCAACUUGAAUUUGGGUUUUUAACUUAGGUUUGGGUGGCGGACGGGUGAGUAACGCGUAAAGAACUUGCCUCACAGCUAGGGACAACAUUUGGAAACGAAUGCUAAUACCUAAUAUUAUGAUAAUAGGGCAUCCUAUAAUUAUGAAAGCUAUAAGCGCUGUGAGAGAGCUUUGCGUCCCAUUAGCUAGUUGGAGAGGUAACGGCUCACCAAGGCGAUGAUGGGUAGCCGGCCUGAGAGGGUGAUCGGCCACAAGGGGACUGAGACACGGCCCUUACUCAUACGGGAGGCAGGAGUGGGGAAUAUUGGACAAUGGACCGAGAGUCUGAUCCAGCAAUUCUGUGUGCACGAUGAAGUUUUUCGGAAUGUAAAGUGCUUUCAGUUGGGAAGAAACAAAUGACGGUACCAACAGAAGAAGAGACGGCUAAAUACGUG
rnacentral:rRNA from 1 species